GUUCGAAUAUUUGUUAACUGUUAAAAUUCCAAUGGAAAGUUCUUUAAAAGAAAGUGGUGUGCGACCUAUUACUGUUAGUUUGUCAUCCAUGAAAAAUCAAUGUUUUGGAAGUGAAACCACAUCAAAUGAAAUACAUUUUGUGUAACAGUGUAACGGAAUCUUAUGAUCAGCUUGAAAGCUGUUAAACCCAAAAUGUAAGCCAUGCUGUGACUGAUGCUUUCCACUGUGUUAUUCUAUUGCUCAUUUAGAGAACGAUGGUGAAUAUGGAAGAACGUCACCACCAAUAUGAAUCUGAUGGAUAAGAAUAGCAGCAUCUCAUUCAUCGUCAUUUGUCAGAUCAUCCCAUGGCUAUGAUUCCCCAGCACAAUUUCAGUAGUCUUCGUCAUUUCUGCUGAAUCAGCCAAUACACAUAGACAGGAACGCCAACUAUUAAUUCUAGAACUGCCAAGUCUUCAAUCGUCAGCAAAAACUCUGGCCCUACAAUGUUUCCAGGCUUCGGAUAACAGGCAUAAAACCACGCCAUUUUCUUCUUCAAUCCCACGCAAAAUUGAAACCAAGAUUCUAAAUUUUGCCCGUUCUACGCAUCAUCAUCCGUCUUCGCCUCGCCCGUCACCCCGUCGUCGCCCCGUCUUCAUCUCGUCCGUCACCCCGCCAUCGCCU